CCCCGGGUCGCCGCAGCUUGUGCUGCUUUCGGGCCCUGCAGCCUGAAGAAAAAAAGAGAAAAAGAUAAAAAAAAACCCGAAAACGCUUUAAAAUCUGAAAAAAAAAAAAAAAAAAAGAGAGAAAGAAACAGCGAAUCCUCCUCGGAGAACCCGCGGGGAAGUCACUUUUGCACGCUUCCGGCCUGCCCGCGCUCACCGCCGCCGCCGCCGCCGCCACCACCACUGCCGCCGCCGCUACCGCACCUGGUCGUCUAUCGGCCCCGGUCUGUCGGUCUGGUGGUGAGCCGCCCGCGUCCACGCGCCUCCGCUCCUGCCGUCCGUCUGCGCCGCGUGGCAACCCCGCGCCCCCGCCCCCCGCGCGCCUGCCUCCCCGCGCACCACGUGUCCGCGCUGCCCUUCGCGGCCCGGCGUGGAGGCGGCUGCGCGCUUGGUCCCCGGGGCUCGCCGAGCCGGUACAGAUAGAUAUUUUGUAUCCCUCUUCCCUGGCUGCUGUAACCUUAAACCGCCAGGAGCCCAAGGCCUAUAUUUAUAAGGAAACGCGUGUCUCGGAGGCCGCGUGGGCACCAUUUGGUUGUCUCUUCAAGAAUUUUUAUAAUUUGGAGGGAAAUCCCCAUUUUAACAGAUUUGUUUUUGAGAUUUGGAGAUUCAGACCAGAACAGCUGGAAAUUACAAACUCCCAGGGUGGGCCAUAUUGUUUUUGAGAGCCUUUUGUCUGCGGUCCUGCAGUCUCCAGCGAGCCGCCCCCGAACUCCUCUGUCCCCCUCCUGUUUCUGAGCCUGCUCCAGCUUCUCAGCUGCACUCUGCCACCUGUGAGCCGCGGCGCGGCCCCGGCUUCGAGAAGAUCCCCCUUUUGUCUUGUGUGGUCCCUGUAAGAAGUCCUGGCGGGGCUUGGGGUGGUGGGGGCUGGGGAGAUGAACGCUGCGGCCAGCAGCUACCCCAUGGCCUCCCUCUACGUGGGUGACCUGCACUCGGAUGUCACCGAGGCCAUGCUGUAUGAAAAGUUCAGUCCUGCGGGGCCUGUACUGUCCAUCCGGGUCUGCCGCGAUAUGAUCACCCGCCGCUCCCUGGGUUAUGCCUACGUCAACUUCCAGCAGCCGGCUGACGCUGAGCGGGCCUUGGAUACCAUGAACUUCGAUGUGAUUAAGGGGAAGCCAAUCCGCAUCAUGUGGUCUCAGAGGGACCCUUCUUUGAGGAAAUCUGGUGUGGGAAACGUCUUCAUCAAGAACCUGGACAAAUCUAUAGAUAACAAGGCACUUUAUGAUACUUUUUCUGCUUUUGGAAACAUUCUGUCUUGCAAGGUGGUGUGUGAUGAGAACGGCUCUAAGGGUUAUGCCUUUGUUCACUUCGAGACCCAAGAGGCUGCAGACAAGGCCAUCGAGAAGAUGAACGGCAUGCUCCUCAAUGACCGCAAAGUGUUUGUGGGCAGAUUCAAGUCUCGAAAAGAGCGAGAAGCCGAGCUUGGAGCCAAAGCCAAGGAAUUCACCAAUGUGUAUAUCAAAAACUUUGGGGAGGAGAUGGAUGACGAGAGUCUGAAAGAGCUGUUCAGUCAGUUUGGUAAGACCCUAAGUGUCAAGGUGAUGAGAGAUCCCAAUGGGAAAUCCAAAGGCUUUGGCUUCGUGAGUUACGAGAAACACGAGGAUGCCAAUAAGGCCGUGGAAGAGAUGAAUGGAAAAGAGAUCAGCGGGAAAGUCAUUUUUGUAGGCCGUGCACAGAAGAAAGUGGAACGGCAGGCUGAGUUAAAACGGAAAUUUGAACAGCUGAAACAAGAGAGAAUUAGUCGAUACCAGGGGGUGAAUCUGUACAUUAAGAACUUGGAUGACACCAUUGAUGACGAGAAGUUAAGGAAAGAGUUUUCUCCUUUUGGAUCCAUCACCAGUGCUAAGGUGAUGUUGGAGGACGGGAGAAGCAAAGGGUUUGGCUUUGUCUGCUUCUCAUCUCCUGAAGAGGCCACCAAAGCAGUCACUGAGAUGAAUGGACGCAUCGUGGGCUCCAAGCCCCUGUAUGUCGCUCUGGCCCAGAGGAAGGAAGAGCGAAAGGCCCACCUGACCAACCAGUAUAUGCAGCGGGUGGCCGGAAUGAGAGCACUCCCUGCCAACGCCAUCUUAAAUCAGUUCCAGCCUGCGGCUGGUGGCUACUUUGUGCCUGCAGUUCCUCAGGCUCAGGGAAGGCCUCCAUAUUACACACCUAACCAGUUAGCACAGAUGAGACCUAAUCCACGCUGGCAGCAAGGUGGGAGACCUCAAGGCUUCCAGGGAAUGCCAAGUGCUAUACGCCAGGCUGGGCCUCGUCCAACUCUUCGCCAUCUGGCUCCAACUGGUAAUGCUCCGGCCUCUCGUGGCCUCCCUACUACUGCUCAGAGAGUCGGGUCUGAGUGCCCGGACCGCUUGGCUAUGGACUUUGGUGGGGCUGGUGCCGCCCAGCAAGGGCUGACUGACAGCUGCCAGUCUGGAGGUGUUCCCACAGCUGUGCAGAGCUUAGCGCCUCGUGCUGCUGUGGCUGCUGCUGCUCCACGGGCUGUUGCACCUUACAAGUACGCCUCCAGCGUCCGCAGCCCUCACCCUGCCAUGCCACCUCUGCAGGCAUCCCAGCCUGCAGUCCAUGUGCAGGGGCAGGAGCCCCUGACCGCCUCCAUGCUGGCUGCAGCACCCCCCCAGGAACAGAAGCAGAUGCUGGGAGAACGUUUGUUCCCACUCAUCCAAACCAUGCAUUCGAAUCUGGCUGGCAAGAUCACAGGAAUGCUGCUGGAGAUCGACAACUCCGAGCUGCUGCACAUGCUGGAGUCCCCCGAGUCUCUCCGCUCCAAGAGAGAGAGGAAAGGAGGAAGAAAGAGAGGGAGACAAAUACCAAUUGGAUGUCUCUUGUACAUACCUCGACCACGGAGCGAACCUGCAACCCAGGCAUGUGCCCUGACCAGGAAUCGAACCAGUGACCUUUGGUGGUUUGCAGUAUGACACCCAACCAAUUGAGCUACGCCUGUCAGGGCACAAGUUCUUCAAUUCUUAAAUGGUGGUGACUAGUCAGAGAAGCGCGCGGAGAAGGGAGGGGUCAGAGCCCCCCGAAGCGGAAACGCGGGUGGCGAGAUCGAAGCUAACUCCUAGUGACCUUUCAUAGCCGAGCUCACUGCUACCUUCCCCGGGAAACUGUGAGUCCUCCAGUUGCGUUAGUGUCCUUCUGGGCUUCUGUGGCCUCUGGACUUCGUGGAGCACUCUCUCCAAGCGUUUGCCGCACCGCUGUGACGUUGCUUUUACAUGUUGCUUCCUCUGUGCCAGACACUGCCGGAGAGGCCGCUGCAAAGAAGGCCCGCUCCAACCCGCAGGUGUUACAUGGACGUCAAGAUCGGGAACAAGCCAGCGGGCCGCAUCCAGAUGCUCCUGCGUUCGGACGUCGUUCCCAUGACAGCAGGGUUGCCAGAAGGAAACGAGGAAGAGCAAGAAAUGGAAAACUUAUUUGAAAAAAGUAAUGGAGGAAAACUUCCCCAAUCUGGCAAAGGAAAUAGAAUUGCAGGAAGUCCAGGAAGCUGAGCGUCCCAAAGAAGUUGGACCCAAGGAGGAACACACCAAGGCACAUCAUUGUAUGACCAAAGACUAAAGAGAAUCUUAAAAGCAGCAAGAGAAAAGGAGACAGUUACCUACAAAGGAGUGCCCAUAAGAUUGUCAGCUGAUUUCUCAAAAGAGACCUUGCAGGCAAGAAGGGGCUGGAAGCAGUAUUGCAAGUCAUAAAAGGCAAGGACCUGCUUUCUAGACAAGGUCAAGUUAAAGGAGUUCAUCACCCAGCCCCUAUUUUAGGAAAUGUUAAAGGGACUUACCUAAGAAAAAGAAGAUGAUCAGAACUAUGAACAGUAAAAUGAUAAACACAACUAUCAACAACUGAACCAAAAAAACACUAAGCAAACAACUAGAACAGGAACAGAAUCACAGAAAUGGAAGAUAACAUGGAGGGUUAUCAGUGGGGAGUGGGAGGAGGGAGACUCAGAGGAAAAGGUACAGGGAAUAAGAAGCAUAAUUGGUAGGCACAAAAUAGACAGGGGUGGAGGUUAAGAAUAGUACAGGAAAUGGAGAAGCCAAAGAACUUACAUAUAUGAUCCAUGGACAUGAACUAAGGAGGAGGGAAUGCUAGAGGGAAGGAGGGUGCAGGGUGGGGUGGUGGAUAAAGGGGAGGAAAAAAAUGGGACAACUGUAAUAGCAAUAAAUAUACUUAAUAAAACAACAAAAAGGAUUAUGGGUAAAAGGGUCAUUAUGAAUAUUUAUGAAAAUAUGAGAUACAACUACCGUCAGUAGUAGUUAACCCCUGGGAAAUGGACUGCAGGUACUGAAGGGGAAAUUCUGCAUACCUGAAUGUUUGCCCAGGCAUAAAGUCUACAUGGACCUAGAAUAAUUCUUCAUUGUGUAGGACAUUGCAGGACAUCUCAGUUCCCUGCUCCUUCCCACUCAUACCAGUGGCGCCCCCUGUAUCACGGACCAAAAAUAUGCCUUGAAGUCUCUGAGCAGCCUCCAGGGGGCAGUGUUACCUUGCGUAUAACCCCUGCUCUAAACAAUCUCUUCCCUUCAAUUUUGGGCUUAAAUGCAUAAUGGAAUGAGGUUGUAGGAGCAGAUAAUGGUAAUCACAUCUUCCACACCCUUGCCUGGCAGGAGAUGGGACAAUUUUUCAUUAAGUGGGAUGUAGCAGAAACCUCACAUUUCACGCGCCCCCCGCCCUGCCCAACCACUAACGCCAGUAGCACCCCAUAACAUUUCUAAUGAUCAGAGACACUUUAACUUCCGCAGUGCCACGUCCUCUUCCAACCAUGCCGUCUGACAAAGUCCGGGCACGGAGGAUUCGAGUUCAAAGAAUUCGUCUCCCCAGAAGAGAACGUGGCAUCCAAAAUGGGUUAACAAUUGGCUGCUUUAUUUUAAUUAUUUUACUCUUGCUACUGAGUAUGGACAUUGUACUAUACUUACUUAUUCCUGUGAAAAUCACCAAAGAGGAGGGAACAGUUUAGGGGAAAACAUUAGUAUUCCCCACGAAACUGCCUGAAAGGAUGGAAAAAUCUCCACACAUUCCCCUCUCCCUUAUACAGGGGAGUACAACAGCCAGGGUAACAUAAUUAUUAACCAUAAGGGAAAACAUGUCAAGUUGUAUAAAUUACCCUGGUUUGAGCAACUUAAGGCAAUCAGGACCACCAUAGUGUACCAGAAAUAAGAAAAACAAGUUACAUAUUUGUUUGGGUAAUCAAAAGGUGGUGGAAUUGUUAGACAUUUAUAUUUCAGGUUCAUUGAUUCGCAUAAUUCCAAUGAAGUACAAAAUAAUUUCUUGACCAGAGAACAAAGUUCACUCUAAUGAAAUAGUCCCUGAAUGUUUAGAAGUUGUUGAAGUAACAGCCCCUCCUUUACCUUGAACAGGAAUAUAUAUUAAUUAGAAUUUAGUAAACAUAGAAACAAGAGAAGCUUGUUAGAUACUAUAAACUAAGCACGUAGAUACAAUUACCAAGGAGUUAGAGUCCAUAGUACAUAGAGAAACAUUUUAGACAGAAAGAUAAAUAGCUAAAUUAGACAUCACAAAGGCCUUAUAAUGAAUUUCCUAACCUCUCCUUGGUGUAGCGUACCUUUUGCCCCAUGCCAAAUUCUAGACUUUU